AACGAGGCCCAGCGAGAUUACGGAACCUGUCCAAAGUCCACUGGUGGCAUUUGAAACCAAGCCCUUUUAGAUCUUAACUCAGAACUCUGGUUGUUUCUGCAAGGCCUCUCACUGUUGUGGCCUCUCCCGUUGCGGACCACAGGCUCCAGACUCGCAGGCUCAGCAGCCAUGGCUCAUGGGCCUAGCCACUCCACUGCAUGUGGGAUCUUCCCGGACCGGGGCACGAACCCAUGCCCCCUGCAUCGGCAGGCGGACUCUCAACCACUGCGCCACCAGGGAAGCCCAGAUAUCGUCUUUUAUGAAGGACUGGUUCAAGUCUUUUUCUCCCCUCUCUGUUGGGUUGUUUCCCUUCCAGUUUUUACCAUUUUAAAAGCAGAUCAAAAAGGCAGACAAAGGAAACAGGGAUGGGGAAAAACUGAUUAAAGGUCGCUGCUGCAUAUCAGACACUGUGUAGACUUAUGUCAUUUACUCUGUGUGACAAUCCUGCUAAAUCAAUAUCAUAUCAUUUUACAGAUCCAUUCACAUUUCAAAAGAAAUGAAGUGCCUACCAUAUUGCCCAGCACAAUCCUUGGCGCUGGAGAUACAAUGAAGAUCAAAAUCAAGAUGGUCCCUCCUAUGGCACUUGCUGUGGGGGAUAGUCAGAAUUUUCCUAUUCAAGAUUGUCUGGAACAGGAGUGCACAUGCUCAGAGGAAAGGCCAUGUGAGGAUUCAGCAAGAAGAUGGCCAUCAGCAAGCCAAGGAGAGAGGCCUCAGACAGAAGCAAAGCACUCUCUGUGAUCUAGGACUGUGAGAAAGAACCAAGAUGGCGGAGUAGAAGGACGAGCUCCCACUCCCUCUCGCAAGAACACCAGAAUCGCAACUAGCUGCUGGACAAUUAUCGACAGGAAGACACUGGAACUCACCAAAAAAGACACCCCACAUCCAAAGACAAAGGAGAAGCCACAAUGAGACGGUAGGAGGGACUCAAUCACAAUAAAAUCAAUUCCCAUAACUGCUGGGUGGGUGACUCACAAACUGGAGAACACUUGUACCACAGAAGUCCACACACUGGAGUGAAGGUUCUGAGCCCCACAUCAGGUUCCCAACCUGGGCGUCCGGAAAUGGGAGGAGGAAUUCCUAGAGAAUCAGACUUUGAAGGCUAGUGGGAUUUGACUGCAGGACUUCAACAGGACUGGGGGAAACAGAGACUCCACUCUUAGAGGGCACACAUGAAGUAGUGUGCACAUUGGGACCCAGGGGAAGAAGCAGUGACCUCAGGGGAGACGGAACCAGACGUACCUGCUAGUGUUGGAGGGUCUCCUGCAGAGGCAGGGGGUGGCUGUGGCUCACUGUGGGAACAAGGACACUGGCAGCAGAAGUUCUGGGAAGUACUCCUCCCAGAGUCCGCCAUUGGCCCCAACAAAGAGCCCAGGUAGGCUCCAGUGUUGGGUUGCCUCAGGCCAAACAACCAACAGGGAGGUAACCCAGCCCCACCCAUCAACAUUAAAGUGGAUUAAAGUUUUACUGAGCUCUACCCACCAGAGCAACAGUCAGCUCUACCCACCACCAGUCCCUCCCAUCAGGAAACUUCCACAAGCCCCUUACAUAGCCUCAUCCACCAGAGGGCAGACAGCAGAAGAAAGAAGAACUACAGUCCUGAAGCCUGUGGAACAAAAACCACAUACACAGAAACAUAGACAAGAUGAAAAGGCAGAGGGCUACGCACCAGAUAAAGGAACAAGAUAAAACCCCAGAAAAACAACUAAAUGAAAAGGAGAUAGGCAAUCUUCCAGAAAGAGAAUUCAGAAUAAUGACAGUGAAGAUGAUCCACGUCCUUGGAAAAAGAAUAGAAGCAAAGAUCGAGAAGAUGCAAGAAAUGUUGAACUAAGAUAUAGAAGAAUUAAAGAACAAACAAACAGAGAUGAACAAUACAAUAACUGAAAUGAAAAAUACACUAGAAGGAAUCAAUAGCAGAAUAACUGAGGCAGAAGAACGGAUAAGUGACCUGGAAGACAGAAUAGUGGAAUUCACUGCUGUGGAACAGACUAAAGAAAAAAGAAUGAAAAGAAAUGAAGACAGCCUAAGAGACCUCUGGGACAACAUUAAACACAACACUUUAGCAUUAUAGGGGUCCCAGAAGGAGAAGAGAGAGAGAAAGGAACCAAGAAAAUAUUUGAAGAGAUUAUAGUCAAAAAUUCCCUCACAUGGGAAAGGAAAUAGCCACCCAAGUCCAGGAAGCACAGAGAGUCCCAUACAUGAUAAACCCAAGGAGAAAUACACCGAGAAACAUAGUAAUUAAAUUGGCAAAAAUUAGAGACAAAGAAAAAUUAUUGAAAGCAGCAAGGGAAAAAUGACAAAUAACAUACAAGGGAACUCCCAUAAGGUUAACAGCUGAUUUCUCAGCAGGAACUCUACAAGUCAGAAGGGAGUGGCAUGAUAUACUUCAAGUGAUGAAAGGGAAGAACCUACAACCAAGAUUACUCCACUGGGCAAGGAUCUCAUUCAGAUUCCAUGGAGAAAUCAAAAGCUUUACAGACAAGCAAAAGCUAAGAGAAUUCAGCACCACCAAACCAACUCUACAACAAAUGCUAAAGGAACUUCUCUAAGUGGGAAACACAAGAGGAGAAAAGGACCUACAAAAGCAAACCCAAAACUGUUAAGAAAAUGGUCAUAGGAACAUACAUAUUGAUAAUUACCUUAAACGUGAAUGGAUUAAAUGCUCCAAUCAAAAGACACAGGCUUGCUGAACAGAUACAAAAACAAGACGCAUAUAUAUGCUGUCUACAAGAGACCCACUUCAGACCUAGGGACACAUAUAGACUGAAAGUAAGAGAAUGGAAAAAGAUAUUCCAUGCAAAUGGAAAUCAAAAGAAAGGUGGAGUAGCAAUACUCAUAUCAGAUAAAAUAGACUUUAAAAUAAGAAUGAGACAAGGAAGGACACUACAUAAUGAUCAAGGGAUCAAUCCAAGAAGAAGAUACAACAAUUAUAAAUAUAUAUGCACCCAACAUAGGAGCACCUCAGUACAUAAGGCAACUGCUAAGAGGUGUAAAAGAAGAAAUUGACAGUAACACAAUAAUAGUGGGGAACUUUAACACCCAACUUACACCAAUGGACAGAUCAUCCAAAAUGAAAAUAAAUAAGGAAACAGAAGCUUUAAAUGAUACAAUAGACCAGAUAGAUUUGAUUGAUAUUUAUGGGACAUUCCAUCCAAAACCAGCAGAGUACACUUUCUUCUCAGGUGUGCAUGGAACAUUCUCCAGGAUAGAUCACGUCUUGGGUCACAAAUCAGCCACAGAAAAUUUAAGAAAAUUGAAAUCAUAGCACACAUCUUUUCUGACUACAACGCUAUGAGAUUAGAAAUGAACUACAGGGAAGAAAACGUAAAAAACACAAACACAUGGAGGCUAAACAAUACAUUACUAAAUAACCAAGAAAUCAAAAAGGAAAUCAAAACGUACCUAGAGACAAACUACAGUGAAUACACGACGAUCCAAAACCUAUGGGAUGCAGCAAAAGCAGUUCUAAGAGGGAAGUUUAUAGCUAUACAAGCCUACCUCAAGAAACAAGAAAAACCUCAAAUAAACAAUCUAAACUUACACCUAAAGGAACUAGAGAAAGAAGAACAAACAAAACCCAAAGUUAGCAGAAGGAAAGCAAUCAUAAAGAUCAGAGCAGAAAUAAAUGACAUAGAAACAAAGAAAACAAUAGCAAAUAUCAAUAAAACUAAAAGCUGGUUCUUUGAGAAGAUAAGCAAAAUUGAUAAACCAUUAGCCAGACUCAUCAAGAAAAAGAGGGAGAGGACUCAAAUCAAUAAAAUUAGAAAUGAAAAAGGAAAGUGAGAGAGUGGCAUGGACAUAUAUACAAUACUAAAUGUAAAAUAGAUAGCUAGUGGGAAGCAGCUGCAUAGCACAGGGAGAUCAGCUUGGUGCUUUGUGACCACCUAGAGGGGUGGAUAGAGCAGGUGGAGGGAGGGAGAUACAAGAGGGAAGAGAUAUGGGGACAUAGGUAUAUGUAUAACUGAUUAACAUUGUUAUAAAGCAGAAACUAACACACCACUGUAAAGCAAUUAUACUCUAAUAAAGAUGUUAAAAAAAAAAAGAAAAAGGAGAAGUUACAACAGACACCACAGAAAUACAAAGCAUCCUAAGACUACUACAAGCAACUCUAUGCCAAUAAAAUGGACAACCUGGAAGAAAUGGACAAAUUCUUAGAAAGGUAUAACCUUCCAAGACUGAACAAGGAAGAAAUAAAAAAUAUGAACAGACCAAUCACAAGUAAUGAAAUUGAAACUAUGAUUAAAAAUCUUCCAACAGGGGCUUCCCUGGUGGCGCAAUGUUGAGAGUCCGCCUGCCGAUGCAGGGGACACGGGUUCAUGUCCCGGUCCGGGAAGAUCCCACAUGCCACGGAGUGGCUAGGCCCGUGAGCCAUGGCCACUGAGCCUGCGUGUCCAGAGCCUGUGCUCCACAACGGGAGAAGCCACAACAGUGAGAGACCCGCGUACCGCAAAAAAAAAAAAAAAAAAAAAAAAAAAUCUUCCAACAGGGCUUCCCUGGUGGCGCAGUGGUUGAGAGUCCGCCUGCCGAUGCAGGGGCCACGGGUUUGUGCCCUGGUAUGGGAAGAUGCCACAUGUCGUGGAGCACCUGGGCCUGUAAGACAUGGCCAUUGAGCCUGCACAUCCAGAGCCUGUGCUCCGCAAUGGGAGAGGCCACAGCAGUGAGAGGCCCGCGUACCGCAAAGAAAAAAAAUCUUCCAACAAAAAAAAGUCCAGGACCAGAUGGCUUCACAGGCGAAUUCUAUCAAACAUUUCGAGAAGAGCUAACACCCAUCCUUCUCAAACUCUUCCAAAAAAUUGCGGAGGAAGGAACACUCCCAAACGCAUUCUAUGAGGCCACUAUCACCCUGAUACCAAAACCAGACAAAGAUACUACAAAAAAAGAAAAUUACAGACCAAUAUCACUGAUGAAUAUAGAUGCAAAAAUCCUCAACAAAAUACUAGCAAAGAGAAUCCAACAACACAUUAAAAGGAUCAUACACCAUUAUCAAGUGGGAUUUAUCCCAGGCAUGCAAGGAUUCUUUUAUAUAUGUAAAUCUAUUACUGUGAUAAACUAUAUUAAAAAAUAGAAUAAUAAAAACCAUAUGAUCAUCUCAAUAGAUGCAGAAAGAGCUUUUGACAAAAUUCAGCACCCAUUUAUGAUAAAAACUCUCCAGAAAGUGGGCAUAGAGGGAAACUACCUCAACAUAAUGAAGGCCAUAUAUGACAAACCCACAGCAAACAUCAUUCUCAAUGGUGAAAAACUGAAAGCAUUUCCUCUAAGAUGAGGAACAAGACAAGGAUAUCCACUCUCACCACUAUUAUUCAACAUAGUUUUGGAAGUCCUAGGCAUGGCAAUCAGAGAAGAAAAAAGAAAUACAAAUUGGAAAAGAAGAAGUAAAACUGUCACUGUUUGCAGAUGACUUGAUACUAUACAUGGAGAAUCCUAGAGAUGCCACCAGAAAACUACUAGAGCUAAUCAAUGAAUUUGGUAAAGUUUUAGAAUACAAAAUUAAUGCACAGAAAUCUCUUGCAUUCCUGUACACUAAUGAUGAACUAUCUGAAAGAGAAACUAAGGAAACACUCCCAUUUACCAUUGCAACAAAAAGAAUAAAAUAUCUAGGAGUAAACCUACCUAGGGAGACAAAAGACCUGUAUGCAGAAAACUAUAAGACACUGAUGAAAGAAAUUAAAGAUGAUACCAACAGAUGGAGAGAUAUACCAUGUUCUUGGAUUGGAAGAAUCAAUAUUGUGAAAAUGACUAUACUACCCAAAGCAAUCUACAUAUUCAUUGCAAUCCCUAUCAAAUUACCAAUGCCGUUUUUUACAGAACUAGAACAAUAAAUCUUAAAAUUUGUAUGGAAACACAAAAGACCCCGAAUAGCCAAAGCAAUCUUGAGGGAAAAAAACGGAGCUGGAGGAAUAAGACUCCCUGACUUCAGACUAUACUACAAAGCUACAGUAAUCAAGACAAUAUGGUACUGGCACAAAAACAGAAACAUAGAUCAAUGGAACAAGAUAGAAAUUCCAAAGAUGUACCCACGCACCUAUGGUCAACUAAUCUGCGACAAAGGAGGCAAGGAUAUACAAUGGAGAAAAGACAGCCUCUUCAAUAAGUGGUGCUGGGAACACUGGACAGCUACAUGUAAAAGAAUAAAAUUAGAACCCUCCCAACACCAUACACAAAAAUAAACUCAAAAUGGAUUAGAGACCUAAAUGUAAGACCAGACACUAUAAAACUCUUAGAGGAAAACAUAGGAAGAACACUCUUUGACAUAAAUCACAGCAAGAUCUUUUUUGAUCCACCUCCUAGAGUAAUGGAAAUAAAAACAAAAAUAAACAAAUGGGACCUAAUGAAACUUCAAAGCUUUUGCACAGCAAAGGAAACCAUAAACAAGAUGAAUAGACAACCCUCAGAAUGGGAGAAAAUAUUUGCAAAUGAAUCAACGGACGAAGGUUUAAUCUCCAAAAUAUAUAAACAGCUCAUGCAACUCAAUAUUAAAAAAACCAAACAACCCAAUCCAAAAAUGGGCAGAAGACCUAAAUAGACUUUUCUCCAAAGAAGACAUACAGAUGGCCAAGAGGCACGUGAAAAGCUGCUCAACAUCACUAAGUAUUAGUGAAAUGCAAAUCAAAACUACAAUGAGGUAUUGCCUCACACCAGUUAGAAUUGGCAUCAUCAGAAAAUCUACAAACAACAAAUGCUGGAGAGGAUGUGGUGAAAAGGGAACCCUCUUGCACUGUUGGUGGGAAUGUAAAUUGAUACAGCCACUAUGGAGAACAGUAUGGAGGUUCCUUAAAAAACUAAAAAUAGAAUUACCAUGUGAUCCAGCAAUCCCACUACUGGGCAUAUACCCAGAGAAAACCAUAAUUUCAAGAGACACAUGCACCCCAAUGUUCAUUGCAGCACUAUUUACAAUAGCCAUGUCAUGGAAGCAACCUAAAUGCCCAUCAACAGAUGAAUGGAUAAAGAAGAUGUGGUACAUAUAUACAAUGGAAUAUUACUCAGCCAUAAAAAGGAAUGAAAUUGGGUCAUUUGUAGAGAUGUGGAUGGAUCUAGAGACUGUCAUACAGAGUGAAGUAAGUCAGAAAGAGAAAAACAAAUAUCGUAUAUUAACACAUAUAUGUGGAACCUAGAAAAAAUGGUACAGAUAAACUGGUUUGCAGGGUAGAAAUUGAGACAGAUGUAGAGAACAAACAUAUGGACACUAAGAGGGGAAAGCGGCGGGGGUGCGUGAUGAACUGGGCUAUUGGGAUUGACAUGUAUACACUGAUGUGUAUAAAAUUGAUGACUAAUAAGGACCUGCUGUAUAAAUAAAUAAAUAAAAUAAAAUAAUUUUUUAAAAAACGUUGUCUGGACAACAGCCAUGAACAGCUUUGGCCAAAGCACACAGUUCCUUUGAAAGAAAUAUUAAGAAUCUCUCCCACCCAAUCCCCUGUUGCAGAGAACUAGUCACUAUCCCAAAAUUCAGCCUGGGUCAUGAAAGUAUCAGUAACCUGGGUUGCGAAACCUGAGUUCAAGUUCUGGUCCUGCCACAUUCCCUACCUUCUCUGGGCCACAAUUUCCUAAUCUAAGAAUUAAUGGGCUGGGCCUGUUGACCUCUAACAGCCAUCUCAGUAUCGUCUUCUAAGAUUCUACAUGUCUGGGGAGCAGACAAUGUGCUUAAACAUGUAGGGUUAUAGGCUAGAGGCAUUCUGGAGACCAUUUAGUUUGACUUUCUAAAUGACAUGUUAUCCUCCUCUAAUGGUGUCCCAGCUGUGACCCAUGUAAGCUGGGGCGUGCACAGACCCAUGUCACAUUGAUCAAGCCAGAAUUUGUGACUGGAGCUGCAGAGAGGAAUCUUUGAACACUCUCUAGGAAUCAGUGUGUAAUGAGGAAUGAGAGCUGCUGUUCUAGAAGAUGCUGGGAAAUCACCAAGGUGUGUGUCACCCACAGGAAGCCAGUGGGAAGGUCGAGGGCCUCCACAGAAAAGAAAUCAGCCCUGUGAAGUGUCAGGCAUUCAAGAUCAGGGAGGGAAGUGGCUGAGAGUUAAUCCUGACUCAGCUCUAAAAUGUGUUUCUGGUGCCACAGAAAAAGAAUACAUAGGGAAAAUGAAGCAAGGGUUCAAGCCCUUGAAGACUUAAAUAUAUGACAUGACACUGUAAAACUCCUAGAAGAGAAUAUAGGUAAAACAUUCUCUGACAUAAUUCAUACCAAUGUCUUCUUAGAUGAGUCUCCCAAGGCAACAGAAAUAAAAGCAAAACUAAACAAAUGAAACCUAAUAAAGCUUACAAGAUUUUGUACAGCGAAGGAAACCAUAAACAAAAGGAAAAGACAACAUACGGACUGGGAGAAAAUAUUUGCAAAUGAUACAACCAACAAGGGCUUAAUUUCCAAAAUAUACAAACCGCUCAUACAACUCAACAACAAAAAACAAACAACCCAAUCAAAAAAUGAGAAGACCUAAAUAGACAUUUCUCUGAAGAAGAAGGCAUUCAGAUGGCCAACACACUCAUGAAAAGAUGCUCAACAUCUCUAAUUAUUAGAGAAAUGCAAAUCAACACUAAAAUGAGGUACCACCUUAUACCAGUCAGAAUGGCCAUUAUUAAAAAAUCUACAAAUAACAAAUGCUGGAGAGGGUGUGGAGAAAAGGGAACCCUCCUACACUGUUGGUGGGAAUGUAAAUUGGUGCAGCCACAAUGGAGAACAGUAUGGAGGUUCCUCAAAAAACUAAAAAUAGAGUUGCCAUAUGACCCAGCAAUCCCACUACUGGGCAUAUAUCCGGACAAAACCAUAAUUCAAAAAGAGUCAUGUACCAAAAUGUUCAUUGCAGCUCUAUUUACAAUAGCCAGGACAUAGAAACAACUUAAGUGUCCAUCAACAGAUGAAUGGAUAAAGAAGAUGUGGCACAGGGCUUCCCUUGUGGUGCAGUGGUUGUGAGUCCACCUGCCGAUGCGGGGGAUGUGGGUUCGUGCCCUGGUCCGGGAGGAUCCCACAUGCCACGGAGCAGCUGGGCCCGUGAGCCAUGGCCGCUGAACCUGUGCAUCCGGAGCCUGUGCUCUGCAGCAGGAGAGGCCACAACAGUGAGAGGCCCACGUACUGCAAAAAAAAAAAAAGAGGAUGUAGCACAUAUAUACAAUGGAAUAUUACUCAGCCAUAUAAAGGAACGAAACAGUUAUUUGUAGUGAGGUGGAUGGACCUAGAGUCUGUCAUACAGAGUGAAGUAAGUCAGAAAGAGAAAAACAAAUACCAUAUGCUAACACAUGUAUAUGGAAUCUAAAAAAAAAAAAAAAAAGAUGGUCAGAGGAGCCUGGGGGCAAGACGGGAAUAAAGAUGCAGACCUACUA